CGCUCACCUCUGAUUGUUUCGACGUCUCCCUGCGGCUGCGCGGCGACGCUCAGAUAUACGGACGGCUGCAGGCAUUCCUGUUCGCCUCGGUCGAGAUCUACUACUCUUGUGCGAGCUCGUUGGACGCCACUGUUUCUCGUGCUGCUUGCAUCGCUGUUAUCGUAGCUUUGGUGACGCGCGCGGUUUUGUCUUGCUUUUCUUUCUUUUGUGAGCUGCUAAAUGUGCUGUCCCUGCAGCAACAACAGCGAGUGCACUCGCACUCUACAUCCACGCCUUGGCGACAACGCGGUCUUCGUAGCGUCUGCGUUGUUUUUGGCUCGGACUCGGUGCGUGUUUUGCGUUGCGAAAGGUUUCUCUUCGGAGCAUUGCGUUCUCGCGUCGCUAAGGUGCUUCGCGCAGUCCCUUUUGCUGCUGUUGCGGCGUGGUCGCGUGCACGUACCGUAUUUACCCAAAUGUAAGCCGGCCUCGAUCCCCCCACCCUCUUCCAAAUUCAGAAUGACAAAAAAAAAAAAAAAAGAGUACACGACAGAAAGCAAAAAAAGAAAAAAAAAACAUUCAUUACCAGUUUCCAGCGCCAGCCACGCUAUUGGCACGGUUAACUGAAGGCACCACUCUGCCAAAAGCGGGGAAAAAAAAAAAAAAAAGAA